GCUCAGAACGAACGCUGGCGGCAGGCUUAACACAUGCAAGUCGAGCGCCCCGCAAGGGGAGCGGCAGACGGGUGAGUAACGCGUGGGAAUCUACCCUUUUCUACGGAAUAACGCAGGGAAACUUGUGCUAAUACCGUAUGAGCCCUUCGGGGGAAAGAUUUAUCGGGAAAGGAUGAGCCCGCGUUGGAUUAGCUAGUUGGUGGGGUAAAGGCCUACCAAGGCGACGAUCCAUAGCUGGUCUGAGAGGAUGAUCAGCCACAUUGGGACUGAGACACGGCCCAAACUCCUACGGGAGGCAGCAGUGGGGAAUAUUGGACAAUGGGCGCAAGCCUGAUCCAGCCAUGCCGCGUGAGUGAUGAAGGCCCUAGGGUUGUAAAGCUCUUUCACCGGUGAAGAUAAU
rnacentral:rRNA from 1 species